ACCUCCAGGGAUGGGUCAUCCACACCCUCCUUGGGCAACCUGUUGCAGUGCGCCACCACCCUCUGUGAAAAACUGAGAAUGAAGAUUGAAACAGAUGGUAAAAGGAGUAAAAUAAGUUUCUUUAUGCCAGCUAGGAUCAAGAAGGAGUGUGCAAACUUUCAUAGUGUCUCGGUGCCCAGCUGAAUGACUUCAGACUGCUGCCUGUAAUCACUGAAUAGUUUCUCUGUAUUUUUUACCAGAGAUUGCUAUGUAGUAAAAGAAAAGCUCAUCCUGAUGUUGGAUUCAACUACAAAGUCAAUUUUGUCAUGCAGAACCUCAGCCCAGUGACUUGAAGAGCAAAUUACUUACCUGUUGUCCAGAAUGUGUCUUCUCUGAAGUGGUUUUGUUUCCAGUUCUUUUAAAACUACAUCAUUCAUGUUUUGAGUGGAUUUCAAGUAUUAAGAAGUGGAAAAGUUUGAAGGAAAAAUUCCUUCCCUUCCCCUCCCUCCCCCCCCGAGGCAGGACUCUUGUUGUUUCAUGUGCUUAAGAGUAGCCUUGCCUUACCUGUAUUUGCUUGUGUACUCUGCUGUAAGAGUAGCUUUGCUUUUGAUGCCCACACUUGUGGUGUGCUAGUCAUGAACUGGGCUUUGAGGCCAGACGUCUGAAUAAGUCCGAGGAAUAUUUUUCACAAAAUCUCCCUUUGUAAUGGAAAACUCGAUUCACCUGAGUAAAUUUUUCACAUAAUUUUUUUUCUUUUUUUCUUUUUCCCCUUCAUGCAUCAGCUGUAGAUGCUAUUUGGUGCCUGUCUGAUAGCUUUCUGCCUAGUGCCUUGUGUCUUGUUUUGCACAGCUGUGCUGAAGAGAAGCAGUACAACUGCUGGUGCUCUGAAGGCUCUUUAGCAGGAUACUGCUGUCCUCACCCCCUUCGGGAUCUGUAUUAGGAAUGCAUUGGUCCCUAAAAAAUAAUCCAGGAAAGAUGGUUAGAACUGUAUGUUUUGUAGCUUUCUUUAAGGGUGGGAUUUUUUUUGUUCAUUUGUUUGCUUUUCACUUUAUACUGGAAAUUGUGAUCACAUCUCCCUCAUUCACAGGUCUUGCUGCCUUCCCUUUUUUUCAUGAUCUCUUUCUGAAAUGCAAAAGCAGUGUUCCUGAUCUUUGCUGCCUUCAUCCUGUGAAACACAGCCUGAUUUGUCUCCCCAGCAUUUACCUCCACCAGCAACAUAGCCAUCAGCUCUUCACUGAAAGGUUUUCAAUGGCUUGGGCUCAAAUAGAAGAUUAGGAAGAUAUAAAAAUAAGCAGAGCUAAAUCAGAGGCGUUAACAGACAUGUUUUGAUUAUCAAUAAGAAAAUGUCAUAAAUCAAGGAGCUUGAUAGACAUCUGGUAACUUUUCAGUUUGGUUUUAAGUAAUCAAAUUUUUUACUACAGUCCUGUUGAUGAAAUCCCAAUUUUCCUAUUAAAUGUCUUAAUGCCUGAAUGAGUAAUGCUUCUGUAAAAUGGAGUAGAACAGAAUGACAUGAUGAUAAUUUUAUCUAAUGGUGUUUGUUAUUGUCCAAGUAUUUAUUGUUAAUUUAUUUAGGGGAAUGGAAGCAUUAAAGUUCAGGCUGCUGUACCAGAGCAGUUCCUUGUCCUCUGUACUGGCUUUACACUUCUGGAGAUGUGUUUGCUCUGGAUGCUUUUCCUUGCAACAAGAAGUGGGAUGUUGCAGUUCACUCCCUUUGGGAUCAACCUGUGUCACAUGAGCUGCUAGCCUUCUGAAGUUUCUGAAUUCAGAUGGGACUGCAUGCUGGCUGACAAAGGUGAGAUCUCUGGAGUGAACAAGCUGGGACAUGGGAGGACAUGGGAGUCACUUCUUUCACGGUAGUAUCCCUAAGGGAAUAUUACUCAAGAACCAUUAGGCUAUGAUGUUUAUGAUGAAUUUGUUUUGUUAUUAAAUUGUAUUUUUCUUGAGAAAAAAAUAUAUUGUGAUCUUUUUCCUAUUAAAGGAAGGAAUACUAAGAUGGCUUGUGAGAUGUGUUAUAUAUCAGGCUGCUCAUUAGAUUUCAUACACUCUGUAUCUUAGUAGCUUUAGUGUUAUAGUAAGUUAAAGUAGUCGUCUCGAGUGACCUUGUUAAGUAGUUAAGUUUAAUUUGUGCUACCUCAGCUUUAUGCUAUUUACAAAUCCGAAACUUUUCUAUUUCUUGGCGAAUCCUAUUUGUAAUCAGAAUCCUAAUUCUUUUUAGUGCACGAUAUUUGUACUUGUAUUUAGAGCCAAAAGGGGGCAGCAGCUUCUUUCAAAUCUUCAGCGUUAACUGGACUGGGAAAGAUCCUAAAGAUCCUAUUCCUUGCUGUUCGUGGAUUCUUUUGUUGUUGGUGGUUUGUGUGUGUGUUUAAAAAAACUUUAAAAAUAGAAAAACCUUGUUCUUUAAAACUAUUUCUAGUCAUGUUUACUCUUAUAAGAACAAACAUUCAGUCUAGUUAGUGUCCUGUAACAAGUGCUUUCCUGGUGAAAUAAUGCAAACCAAGCAUUGUUCUCUGUAUCUGUGCAGCAUAUGUACAGGAACACAUGAACAGACACACAUGAAUCAUGAUUUCUUAAAGAAUUCUUUUAUUUCUCUGUCAGUUACUUUAAAAAAUGAGUGUUCUCUUACAUGCUCAUGGUACAAGUUUUGAUCUCCAUGGGCGGAUUAAGUGCUUCUGAAAGACUGGGCCAAAGCACUGAUAAAACACAAAAUGAGUUAUUGGGUAGGUUUGCAGACUCCCCUGCUUACGUUUUGUGAGUGCCCUUCAAUCACGCUCUACAACCGGCCUUGUGCUGUUCCUGGCAUUUUUGCUGGAACUGAGGCUGCCCAUUAUGUCCAACUGCAUUGAGAUUUGAUGAUGAGGAGUAACAAAAAACAAAACAAAACAAAACAAAAGUGAUGAGCAUAACAUUUUGUUCUUGUCUAGUUUCACACUGAAGGCUUUUGGUCAGAAGGAAAGAGGAAGACCUUCUGUAACCUUCUUCCUAAUGCUGUUGUUUCCAAUGUUCACCAAAUGGUGUCUGUUGUCAUUAGCCAGGUGAUCAGUGACCUUAUCAGCUGAAUGUUCUGUUGCAUAAAACAUUUGUGUCCUCGAUGCUGAUCCUCAUACAGUGAUGUGACUGUGCUAUAAUCAGAGGGGAUACCGUGUGCUAAUCUGUCAGAAGUUAACUGUAUAACUGAACUACAGAUUCUAAAGGGGCAUUUUCCUGAAUGCCAUAUGCCAGGCAUUAUAAGAUAGUAGAAAAGUUAUGGCAGCAUUGUUACAGAAAUCAUGGGUGGUUAUGUGUUGUGAGUGUCAAAAGGGAUGAGUUCUGUCUUUUGUGACAGUGCUGUAUGUGUUUAGGUACCCAUGGAAGAGAAAUUACAUGAGCUGUCCACAACCUUUUCACAUCCAUGUAUGACUCUCAUUCUUCCACAUCACAAGAAUCCUCUAUUGAGGUCACCUUAUUCAAAUUUUAUAAAACUGUCUGUCAGAACAGAUGGUAUCACUUAAGGAUAAAAAGCUUAGCCAUAGAUGUGAAGAAAACCUGCCUCUUCAAGUAAGGCCUGCUAGCACGUCUUAGUCUUUAUCACCUAUGUCUUCUCUCCCUGCAUGACAGAAAUUUCUCACAGGUUUGUGACUUGUCAAAGGCCUUUACAUUUUUAGAUGGGUUUGACUUGUUGAAACAACUCUGGUCAAACGACAGCUUUUCUGUCUCUCUCAUUUUGUCCAUCUAUGAAAUGGUUGCUUGGGCUACGGAAGUUAAGAUGUGUAAAAUACAUUUGUAAAGGCAAUGGCUUCUCUUGCAUGCUCAGGGUAACAAAUCAUUCAGACUGACAGUUCAGUAAUAGCUACCGUAACUUACUAUCUUUCUGCAGUAUGUGUUCCCCUUCCUUCAUGGCCAGUAUCACCAUCGUCUCUGCUCCCUGUCAGUCCUCAUGUAGCUCUUCGGGAGGCUUCUGAUAAGCUCCCUGAAGUACGUCAAUCUUCGGCCACUGCUGUUUGUUUCUAUGUUGUUUGUGUUAAUUUAUUUUGGGUGUUCUUUGAAGGCUAAAUUUUGGCAUUAAUUUUUUGCUACCUUCCAAACAAUGUGUGUAUUUUUUAAAGUCUGUUAUUGUCUGUCGUUACCCGAUCUGACUGAUAGAACACGGCAGUUUUGAAUGAGGUGUUAUUUUGCAAGUUUUCUCACUCCUUUUACUGGCUCAGAUUCAUGGUAAGAAGUGUUGGAUAUUCAGUGUUAUUGUUCCUCUUCAGGUGAGGAUAUAAUGUGGAUCUUUAAGGCAGCUUUUCAAAUCAGGUCUGUUAAAAAUUUGUGUCUACCCAAAAUUAUGGAUUUCUGAGCUCAGUUCCGGAUGGUGGUCAGGACACAAGAGUCAGUAGUGUCACAUGUAUAUUUAUACAUAUAUACAGCUUGUAUAUUUUGCUAUGCUGAAAAAUUAUGUUGUGCUAUACAUUUAUCAAGUUGUCUCCUUUCUGGAUUCCUCUUUCUGGUAUGACUGUAUAAGAAUAAACGGGAUGAUAAUCUCA